ensembl:lncRNA
CUUGAAUUGACCUAGCAAAGUCUCCACAUAAGUUCAAGGAGAAAAGAAAUUCUAAAGAUCAAGUAGGAAGUGUUGGAAGGGUGCACCCGGAGUGAAAAUGGGGAAAAGGACAAGCGAGGUCCAAAUUAGUCAUGAAAAAUAGAGAAAGGGAAGAGAACAAAUGCCAACAUGCUGCUGGGGGAACCAGUCGAAGAGAGUUCGAGAGAUGGCUGAUAAAGAUCUCAGGGUCUAAGGAGGUGCAGGAACUCUUCAUCUUUGAGUCCUCAGCUCAAAGCUCUGUCCCUGGAGCAUAGCAGGAUCUUCAGAACACCUGCUGGCUGAGUGGAUGAAAGCUGCAUGGAUAAACAGCUUUUUCGAUGAUCCAGCGGAUGUUGGCAAUUUGAUCUCUGGGAGGAUCACCUCGGCGGCUGGGAGGAGCCACCCCACGCCCGAGGCCAGGGGCGGCAGCCGGGAAGAUCAACCCACGUCCAAGG